UAAAAAUGAUAACUAGUAAUUGUUGAUUUGAGUAAAGUUUUCAAAUUAAACUGACUUAGAAAUAAAACUUUCCAUUUACAACCUAAAAUAGCUUGUCUGCCCAACAAAUUUCUUCCAUUGUUGUCCUAACUAAGAUUUUCUAGCGAGCAUAACAAAGAUUAUCAACUUUUGAGUGGAUUUUUUGAGUUGAGUUGGGAACCAGUGGGAAACCCUGUAGGUGACUGGCACAUGUGGUCUGAAUAAGUUUGAACUAGACCAAACGAGUCUGAGCAGACUGUGUGAUAGUUGUUUGUCGAUGUGUUGUGAACUGAAAACCUGCUAAGAAAAUCUGAACAAACGUGGCCAAAGUUGGAUGAAAACUAAAAUUUUUCGACCAUUACGGAUUUUACCUGGUCUGAAGUUGGAGUGUAUUAUUUGACCAUUUUUUGGACAGGUGCGGGAGCUGCCAGCCAUUUGCACUAGCAGGCGGAGAGAGGUCGUGGAGUGUCAACCUAUGGUAUCUGAGGUCCAGGAGAGAUGACCUGCGCUGUUUUCCUCUGAGGAGAUAUCUGAAAAAUUUCAUCGGAUCACAAGCAAAGACCUCCUGGGGACCUUCA